rnacentral:rRNA from 1 species
GCGAACGGGUGAGUAACACGUGGGCAAUCUGCCCUGCACUCUGGGACAAGCCCUGGAAACGGGGUCUAAUACCGGAUACUUACCUGCCGAGGCAUCUUGGCGGGUGGAAAGCUCCGGCGGUGCAGGAUGAGCCCGCGGCCUAUCAGCUUGUUGGUGGGGUGAUGGCCUACCAAGGCGACGACGGGUAGCCGGCCUGAGAGGGCGACCGGCCACACUGGGACUGAGACACGGCCCAGACUCCUACGGGAGGCAGCAGUGGGGAAUAUUGCACAAUGGGCGAAAGCCUGAUGCAGCGACGCCGCGUGAGGGAUGACGGCCUUCGGGUUGUAAACCUCUUUCAGCAGGGAAGAAGCGAAAGUGACGGUACCUGCAGAAGAAGCGCCGGCUAACUACGUGCCAGCAGCCGCGGUAAUACGUAGGGCGCAAGCGUUGUCCGGAAUUAUUGGGCGUAAAGAGCUCGUAGGCGGCUUGUCACGUCGGUUGUGAAAGCCCGGGGCUUAACCCCGGGUCUGCAGUCGAUACGGGCAGGCUAGAGUGUGGUAGGGGAGAUCGGAAUUCCUGGUGUAGCGGUGAAAUGCGCAGAUAUCAGGAGGAACACCGGUGGCGAAGGCGGAUCUCUGGGCCAUUACUGACGCUGAGGA